CUAUCCCAAGGUUCAUUGCGAUCCCAAGGUUCACUGCGGUUUUCCACAAGCCUGUUUCUGCCUAUCACCAUGAGUGAUUCCUCAAUACUCAGAUUUAUCAUCAAGAUCUCAAUUAUAAGCUCAAGUUUUGAUGACAACUUGGUGAUCUGCAGAAAGCACCACCAUGUAAGGAAGGCCAAGACCACUCUGGAAUCAGUCAAGGCUCAUAGGAACUCCAAUCUUCCCAACUGUGAGAGGGCCUUGCUCCAGUGACUGUGAAAUGGAGUGAGGCAUACCAGGAUAUGCCUGGUUUUACUUUUGGGAAGGAGGUUGAACAGUGCAAUAUUUCUUCUAUAGGAUUGCAGUGACCAGACAUGCUACUGUAACUCUCAUGGUCAUGUGCUGGAAUUAGCAGAUAUUCAACAAUUUGGCCAUCUCGCUGACCUGUUGAUAUCAGAAGACCGCAACAGCUCUGCAAAGCAAGUUGCAAAACAGAAUCCAUGAAACUGGCAGUGACUGGAAACCAAUUGGAAGACUUUGGUCUGUGAUGUAGAGGAGUGGGCAGAGGUAGCAGAAGCAAAGACAACAAAAAGAAGAAGUGAUGUGGAUGUCUUCGUCAUAUUGCAUGACUCUGCUGACCCAGCAACAAAGAGGAGGGUGUUCAACAUCAUCCUGCUAGUCAGGAUUCUUCAGGAGAAGCAGUGGAUUCUUGUGGCAGAGAUGGCCAACCACUAUAAAUACCUUUCAACUCAUCCUGGUUCUUUCAAAUAACUUUCCUGCUUGUUUGCUACUGAAAUGUACUGAUUCGACAUGUGGCCUUAACGAAGAGGGGUUAAAAGGUCUAUGGAUCAUCAUUCUCAG